UACGGAGGGGGCGAGCGUUAUUCGGAAUUAUUGGGCGUAAAGGGCGCGUAGGCGGCUGAACAAGUCAAAGGUGAAAUCCCUCGGCUCAACUGAGGAACUGCCUUUGAAACUGUUCGGCUUGAGGCCGGGAGGGGGUAGCGGAAUUCCCAGUGUAGCGGUGAAAUGCGUAGAUAUUGGGAGGAACACCAGUGGCGAAGGCGACUUCCUGGACCUGUUCUGACGCUGAGGAGCGAAAGCGUGGGGAGCGAUCCGG
rnacentral:rRNA from 1 species